AAGCUCUUGAUUCCCAAUUAUGAUUUUAGAUGAUGAUGAUGUGGCACAGCAGCAAAGAAACCCUCUGUUUUGGAAGACUGACUGGAGUUUCAUUAAAUGCCCAGUUUCCACAAGUUUUAUGCUCUACUAAAUUCUUUAGGCCUUUUGUGUACUGAGAAUCUAAGAGUGGAGUCAUAUGUGCAUAGAUUGUUCCAAAGAAAUUAUUCAGCAAAUGGUGUGGCGUGCAUAAGAUACUUGAAUCAAUUUUUAUCAUACACUGAUUUAUACCAUCAACGAUCGCGAAUCUGACUUCCCUAUUAGACUUGCGGUUAAGUGAAAUAUCUAAUGUAAGUUCUUCUCUUGCAUUUAUCAAGGAUAUGAAGUCUCUAAGUACCUUAGUACUUAGGAACAACAAUAUCACUGGUACAAUUCCAUCGAAUAACGGAGAGCUCCAACAGUUACAAAAACUAGAUUUGAGCUUUAACAAGUUAAAUGGACAGAUUCCAGACUCUCUUUUCAACAUUAGCUCACUCUCUUAUCUGUAAUACAUCUUUAGUUUUCUCUCUUGGGUUAACAUGCUUGUAACAUUUGGUUAACUCUUUCUGUCUAAAAAAAAACUCUCAUUUUUUUUGGCAGUAACUUG